rnacentral:RNase_P_RNA from 1 species
CGAGUGGACCGGAUGAUCGCUGCCGACGGGUUGCCGUUGGGAGAGGAAAGUCCGAACUCCGCAGGGCAGUGUGCUGGGUAACUCCCAGGCCCGGUGACGGGACGGAAAGUGCAGCAGAGAGUAGACCGCCGGAUGCCACCACUGGUCGUGCCACCACGACCAGAGUUUGGAGUGUCCGGUAAGGGUGAAACGGUGCGGUAAGAGCGCACCAGCGUCGGCGGCAACGCCGGCGGCUUGGUAAACCCCACACGGAGCAAGACCGAAUAGGGAAGCGUUUGAGAUCGGCCCGAUCGAGGCUUCCGGGUAGGUUGCUGGAGGGCGGGAGUGAUCCCGCUCCUAGAUGAAUGAUCGUCACCUCGUUCGCGAGGAACAGGAUUCGGCUUACGGGAGACUCGAAGG